UCGUGCUAGGCGGGGAGCUAGCGGUGCCCUGAACCCGCAAUCCGCUCAAGCGGGGCUGAGGUGUCCGUUCUCGGGAUGCACGUCAGGCGGUUCAACGCGCCUUAGCGGCGACGAUGGCCGGGUUCCGCGCAUCGGCAAGCAUCUGAACCGUGUCAGGGCCGGAAGGCAGCAGCACUAAGGAUGACUUCCCGAGUGCCGCGUGAUUACCGGGCCAGAGCCGUGAUCGGGCCGCUCCCGUCGGACGACAUCACAAAAACGGACCGCACGA
rnacentral:SRP_RNA from 1 species